rnacentral:rRNA from 1 species
GACGAACGCUGGCGGCGUGCCUAAUACAUGCAAGUCGAGCGAGUCUGCCUUGAAGAUCGGAGUGCUUGCACUCUGUGAAACAAGAUACAGGCUAGCGGCGGACGGGUGAGUAACACGUGGGUAACCUGCCCAAGAGAUCGGGAUAACACCUGGAAACAGAUGCUAAUACCGGAUAACAACAGAUGAUGCCUAUCACCUGUUUAAAAGAUGGUUCUGCUAUCACUCUUGGAUGGACCUGCGGUGCAUUAGCUAGUUGGUAGGGUAACGGCCUACCAAGGCGAUGAUGCAUAGCCGAGUUGAGAGACUGAUCGGCCACAUUGGGACUGAGACACGGCCCAAACUCCUACGGGAGGCAGCAGUAGGGAAUCUUCCACAAUGGACGCAAGUCUGAUGGAGCAACGCCGCGUGAGUGAAGAAGGGUUUCGGCUCGUAAAGCUCUGUUGUUGGUGAAGAAGGACAGGGGUAGUAACUGACCUUUGUUUGACGGUAAUCAAUUAGAAAGUCACGGCUAACUAAGUG